rnacentral:rRNA from 1 species
GCCCAGUCUGGUGCCGCAGGGAAGCCGUGAAGCGAGCCACCUGGGAAGUACGGCCGCAAGGCUGAAACUUAAAGGAAUUGGCGGGGGAGCACAACAACGGGUGGAGCCUGCGGUUUAAUUGGACUCAACGCCGGACAACUCACCGGGGACGACAGCAAUAUGUAGGCCAGGCUGAAGACCUUGCCUGAAUCGCUGAGAGGAGGUGCAUGGCCGUCGCCAGUUCGUACUGUGAAGCAUCCUGUUAAGUCAGGCAACGAGCGAGACCCGUGCCCACUGUUACCAGCAUGUCCUCCGGGGAUGAUGGGUACCGGG